GUGGGGAAUAUUCCGCAAUGGACGAAAGUCUGACGGAGCAACGCCGCGUGAGUGAUGAAGGUUUUCGGACUGUAAAGCUCUGUUGUUUAGGACGAAAGUGCCUGUUGCAAAUAGUUACAGGUAUUGACGGUACUGAACGAGGAAGCCACGGCUAACUACGUGCCAGCAGCCGCGGUAAUACGUAGGUGGCAAGCGUUGUCCGGAAUUAUUGGGCGUAAAGAGCAUAUAGGCGGGAAUCUAAGUCUGUUGUGAAAAUGCGGGGCUCAACCCCGUAUUGCGAUGGAAACUGGGUUUCUUGAGUGCAGGAGAGGAAAGGGGAAUUCCCAGUGUAGCGGUGAAAUGCGUAGAUAUUGGGAGGAACACCAGUGGCGAAGGCGGAUUACUGGACGAUAACUGACGCUGAGGCGCGAAAGCGUGGGGAGCAAACAGGAUUAGAUACCCCAGUAGUCC
rnacentral:rRNA from 1 species